AGCCUGCCCCACAUGUGGCCCAUACAUAUACAGCCACCCAAUUGGACAAGAUGGAUGAAGCAAAGAAGUGCAGACCGACAGGAGCCGGAUGUAGAUCGCUCCUGAGAGACACAGCCAGAAUACAGCAAAUACAGAGGCGAAUGCCAGCAGCAAACCACUGAACUGAGAAUAGGUCCCCCGUUGAAGGAAUCAGAGAAAGAACUGGAAGAGCUUGAAGGGGCUCGAGACCCCAAAAGUACAACAAUGUCAAGCAACCAGAGCUUCCAGGGACUAAGCCACUACCUAAAGACUAUAUAUGGACUGACCCUGGACUCUGACCCCAUAGGUAGCAAUGAAUAUCCUAGUAAGAGCACCAGUGGAAGGGGAAGCCCUGGGUCCUGCUAAGACUGAACCCCCAGUGAACUAGACUAUGGGGGGAGGGCGGCAAUGGGGGGAGGGUUGGGAGGGGAACACCCAUAAGGAAGGGGAGGGGGGAGGGGGAUUUUGCCCGGAAACCGGGAAAGGGAAUAACACUUGAAAUGUAUAUAAGAAAUACUCAAGUUAAUAAAAAAAAAAAGAGCAAAAAAAAAAAAAAA
rnacentral:lncRNA from 1 species